UAGUGUGUGUACACAUAUACACCUGUGUGCAUAUGUACAUGGUAUUUAAGCAUGUUUGCAUGUGUGUUUGUGCUUGCAUGUGCUGCGUGUUUGUGUUGGUGGGAUGUGGGGAGGCUGCUGUGGAGACAAAAGCUGGAGAGAACUUGGUAGAGUAACCCAGGUCGGGAAAUGGCACCUGCAAAGGAAGGCUGGAGUACCUGGGAUUCACGUUGAAAUGGCCAAUCCAUCAGCUGGGCUGGACACAGCCAUCACACUGGGCAGCUGUGAGGUUAAAACAGAAAGUCUGGGCUGUGGGGAGGCUGAGAAUUGAGACGCAUGUAUGAGAUGAGUCACGAGGGCCAAGUGGUGUGUGUGAGAAAGCAGGCACAGCACCACUAAACACUAAGGAGAUUUCAGGGGAGUUACGGGUGGAGGGAGGACAUCAGAUCUACCCUGGAAGUUAAACGUGUUUCGAGUGCAUUAAAUACUAUGGGCCGCAGACGCCUUGUCUCCAUAUCUACUCUUUUAUAAAUGAAGUAAAGUUCUUGGGAAAUACUUUUCUCACUGUAAAGCUCACAAUCUAUCUUGCAAAAAAUAUUUUAAAUUCCAUCUCAAAUAAGCCAGGGUGAAAAGGGAGCCUGUGCACCAGACACUGCCAGCCUUGCCUGGUUCUCGCCUUCUUGCUCUUCCUUCCCCAGCUGCUGGGGAUUUUCUUAACGAUGGAGAUGGGUUUGGGUUUGUCCUGCUGUGCUCUGCUCCCCAUUCCCGGAUCCAAGGUCAUGCCUCUGUCCUGUCCCCUGAGCCACCUCAGGGAUACAGGGUCCCCCACCUGGUCAAGUGCCCAGUGCUGUGCUGUCAUUUGCAAUUUCUUCCUGUGACUGAACUCCAAAUGGCACUGGGACUGCUGACUCCACCCAUUGGACACCCCGUGUUCUUGCUUUUGGGGUUUCUGAAACAGCCCCAAGACUCUGGGCAUCUUGAUUUUGCUCCCAUUGCUUCUCAGGACGCCCUCCUCCUGUGGUUUGCAGCCCCGGCCUUCUCUUCGAGGACGCCUCUGCUCUUCUGCCUCACACUCGGAUUGUACCUUCUUCAGCACAGCCAGUGGCCGAGGCUUCCUCCCUGGGGCUCAGUGGAGCAGGACAGAUGCUGCAUCCAAACUCUUCCAUUGGCCCGUUCUCAUAGCAGCACUCCUGUUUAAUCAGAGGGAUGUUAACGACCAAGUCAUAUUUGCUCGAUUUGUGUUCAAUAUAUUUCAUUUCUACUGAUAAAACUUAAAAAUAUCCCCACACAUGCAUUGCCUGUUAAAGAGUAUCUUCCAGGUACACCUCCCUUACACAUCAGUUAACUUGAUAAUUUCUUCCCAUUCUUGUACAAUAAAUUUCCUUCCUGAUCAGCUCUGUCCAGCAGCAACAACAAUCCACGUAGAGACAUGCAAACUAAAAGUCCGUUAGUGGAGGCACGAAGCUGAUGAGGCUUGGAAAAAAAUGACCGAUUUGAUUAAAAUUAGGACCCAUGGGAGUGGAGCUCUGCCUAUUUUAGAGGCAAAGUAAAUGCCUGGGAGUCCAAUCACCGACAUUCUGUUUGAGGUUUCUAAUCACAAGGAAGAUGGAGAAAAUGCAGAACAAGUGGUCAAGAACAGGGAGAUAAUAAAUAGAAUAUUUAUGGGCUGAGGAAAACAAUUACCAGGGGAAAGCCCAAGAAGCAAAGAUGAACAGAGAACGUGCUGACUGCGCUCGUUUGGAAAGGCCUCAUGGCCAAAGGAGGAGAGGCAUUAUGAGGAGCAGUGACCGAGUGGGCAGGACCCCCGGGGAUCAGGAAAGGUGCACGGGGGGAGAUGAGAGGCCUGAGCGGCUUCCCAGCGAAGGUUUUUGAAGCACGGUUUGAUUUUCUCUCUCCCCCUCACCAUCCCCAGAUUUUAGUUGUGACUAUCUCCAGGUACAUGGCUUGCGACAGGCGGUGUAUAAAAACUAAUGUGAGUUUAAUUUUAAAACCUUAGCCAUUUUCUGGAACUUAAAUAUCAAAGAGAAAAUGUCCACAUAUGAUGUUAAUUGAGGUUUGUCUCACUGGUGAUUUGUGCUGAUUCAAUUCCUGUUUCUUUUUUUUUUUCUUAAGGGGUCAGUUUUAGAAUUGGGAGAUAGGUGUAUAACAUAUGACUAUACAGCGCAGGUUGGUUUUUUAACAUAGAAAUAUCUGCCUUUAAAUGAGAACUGAAAACGGAGCUUCUUGGAGGCCACCUGCUGGUGGCAGUGAUCUGACCGCUGUUUAAGCUUUCUUUGAACUCCUUUUUGUAAAACAGCCUCCAUAAUCAAUGGUGUACGAUCUACUCUCUGGUGGUAAAACUUACUCAGUGAAGAGUGUGUUUUAUUUUCUGAGGAGCUGAACUGUUCCAACCUGAGUAUUCUGAAUAAGGACAGUGGUCGAGCAUGAGUGAUGCCAUCUGGGCUUAGAAAUAAGUGGGCCUAAAAUCUGAUUGUUUUCAUACAUUGUUCAGAUAUUGACUUAAAUAGCAAUUUAUUUUUUAAAAAAUGAUUGGUAUCCGGAACUUGCAACAGCUGUGUGUGGCUUGAAGGGAGAAGAAGUGGUGAAGGCCUGGUUUCCACCGAAGCUCUCACAGCCCAGCCUUUCACUGUGUGGCCGGGGGAAGGGUGCUCCGGGUGGGGGACGGGAAUGGUGGGACUGGGGAUGCCACGGGACAAGGCUGCUGGCCUGGAAGGUGGUCCCGUGGAGAACCGCAGGAGAUGAGAUUGGAAAGUAGUAAUAAGCCAUGUGGAUAAGAACAGAGGAGCGGGUUUUAAGGGGGACGUCCUGAAAUGCUGCUCAUGUCGUUUCAGUUCCAUAGACCACAGGAAAUGCAGGUGAGAGGGCAGCCCGGUGGGAAGGAAGGAAGAGGGUGGUGGUGAGCCAGGUGAGUGUGGAGCCGCCCAGGGCACCGUGCUGUGCUAUAGCUCAGGCAUCGGGUGCUUCUGCCAAACCCUUCAGCACCUGGUUUGGGGCCAACUUCCUUCCUGUGUGAGAGAAGGCAGAGCCUAGGCAGCAUUCCAAACCCCAUCCAGAUGGGAGGCUGAGUGCAGAGCAAACGGAGCCCAGCACUCCAGAGCCGUGUCCCUUCACUGCCACGAUCACAUCACAAACAGCGAGGCUUGGAGAGGACUUGAGAGCUCCUUCAAUGCCAUCUUCCAUCCACUGCGUGAGCCAGAAUAGAAAAAAAGGAAUAAGAAGAGGUCGGUUAAGUUCUCUAUUAAUUCUAUAUAUUUCUCAACAUUUCACUUAAUAUUUCUUUAUAAACAUUUUUCCAGUGGAU
rnacentral:lncRNA from 10 species